rnacentral:rRNA from 1 species
UACGAAGGGUGCUAGCGUUGUUCGGAAUCACUGGGCGUAAAGCGCGCGCAGGCGGCCAUUCAAGUCAGGGGUGAAAUCCUUGGGCUCAACCCAAGAAUUGCCUUUGAAACUGUAUGGCUGGAGUGUCGGAGGGGAUAGCGGAAUUCCUAAUGUAGUGGUGAAAUACGUAGAUAUUAGGAGGAACACCGGUGGCGAAGGCGGCUAUCUGGACGACAACUGACGCUGAGGCGCGAAAGCGUGGGGAUCAAACAGG